rnacentral:rRNA from 1 species
AUGAACGCUAGCUACAGGCUUAACACAUGCAAGUCGAGGGGCAGCAUUUCAGUUUGCUUGCAAACUGGAGAUGGCGACCGGCGCACGGGUGAGUAACACGUAUCCAACCUGCCGAUAACUCGGGGAUAGCCUUUCGAAAGAAAGAUUAAUACCCGAUGGUAUAAUCAGACCGCAUGGUCUUGUUAUUAAAGAAUUUCGGUUAUCGAUGGGGAUGCGUUCCAUUAGGCAGUUGGUGAGGUAACGGCUCACCAAACCUUCGAUGGAUAGGGGUUCUGAGAGGAAGGUCCCCCACAUUGGAACUGAGACACGGUCCAAACUCCUACGGGAGGCAGCAGUGAGGAAUAUUGGUCAAUGGGCGCAGGCCUGAACCAGCCAAGUAGCGUGAAGGAUGACUGCCCUAUGGGUUGUAAACUUCUUUUAUAUGGGAAUAAAGUUUUCCACGUGUGGAAUUUUGUAUGUACCAUAUGAAUAAGGAUCGGCUAACUCCGUGCCAGCAGCCGCGGUAAUACGGAGGAUCCGAGCGUUAUCCGGAUUUAUUGGGUUUAAAGGGAGCGUAGGUGGACAGUUAAGUCAGUUGUGAAAGUUUGCGGCUCAACCGUAAAAUUGCAGUUGAUACUGGCUGUCUUGAGUACAGUAGAGGUGGGCGGAAUUCGUGGUGUAGCGGUGAAAUGCUUAGAUAUCACGAAGAACUCCGAUUGCGAAGGCAGCUCACUGGACUGCAACUGACACUGAUGCUCGAAAGUGUGGGUAUCAAACAGGAUUAGAUACCCUGGUAGUCCACACAGUAAACGAUGAAUACUCGCUGUUUGCGAUAUACAGUAAGCGGCCAAGCGAAAGCAUUAAGUAUGCCACCUGGGGAGUACGCCGGCAACUGUGAAACUCAAAGGAAUUGACGGGGGCCCGCACAAGCGGAGGAACAUGUGGUUAAAUUCGAUGAUCCGCGAGGAACCUUACCCGGGAUUUAAUUGCAUUUGAAUAUAUUGGAAACAGUAUAGUCGUAAGACAAAUGUGAAGGUGCUGCAUGGUUGUCGUCAGCUCGUGCCGUGAGGUGUCGGCUUAAGUGCCAUAACGAGCGCAACCCUUAUCUUUAGUUACUAACAGGUCAUGCUGAGGACUCUAGAGAGACUGCCGUCGUAAGAUGUGAGGAAGGUGGGGAUGACGUCAAAUCAGCACGGCCCUUACGUCCGGGGCUACACACGUGUUACAAUGGGGGGUACAGAAGGCAGCUACCUGGUGACAGGAUGCUAAUCCCAAAAGCCUCUCUCAGUUCGGAUCGAAGUCUGCAACCCGACUUCGUGAAGCUGGAUUCGCUAGUAAUCGCGCAUCAGCCAUGGCGCGGUGAAUACGUUCCCGGGCCUUGUACACACCGCCCGUCAAGCCAUGAAAGCCGGGGGUACCUGAAGUACGUAACCGCAAGGAGCGUCCUAGGGUAAAACUGGUAAUUGGGGCU